rnacentral:misc_RNA from 1 species
CGCACAUUGCGCCCGCCAGUAUUCUGGCGGGCAUGCCUGUUCGAGCGUCAUUUCAACCCCUCAGGCCCUCGGGCCUGGCGUCGGGCGUCUCCCCUCACCGGGAGCGCCCUAGAGACAGUGGCGGACCCGCCGCGGCUCCGAGCGCAGUAGUAACAUUCUCGCUAAGGAGGUCCGCGGAGGGAAAUCCCGGCCGUAAAACCAGCUCAAAGCUCCCCUAGGGGGCGGCGGCUACUCUCAAGGUUGACCUCGGAUCAGGUAGGAAUACCCGCUGAACUUAA